rnacentral:rRNA from 1 species
ACGGGUGAGUAAUAUAUCGGAACGUGCCCUAGAGUGGGGGAUAACUAGUCGAAAGACUAGCUAAUACCGCAUACGAUCUAAGGAUGAAAGUGGGGGAUCGCAAGACCUCAUGCUCCUGGAGCGGCCGAUAUCUGAUUAGCUAGUUGGUGGGGUAAAAGCCUACCAAGGCGACGAUCAGUAGCUGGUCUGAGAGGACGACCAGCCACACUGGGACUGAGACACGGCCCAGACUCCUACGGGAGGCAGCAGUGGGGAAUUUUGGACAAUGGGGGCAACCCUGAUCCAGCAAUGCCGCGUGAGUGAAGAAGGCCUUCGGGUUGUAAAGCUCUUUUGUCAGGGAAGAAACGGUUCCAGCUAAUAUCUGGAGCUAAUGACGGUACCUGAAGAAUAAGCACCGGCUAACUACGUGCCAGCAGCCGCGGUAAUACGUAGGGUGCAAGCGUUAAUCGGAAUUACUGGGCGUAAAGCGUGCGCAGGCGGUUGUGUAAGACAGAUGUGAAAUCCCCGGGCUCAACCUGGGAAUUGCAUUUGUGACUGCACGGCUAGAGUGUGUCAGAGGGGGGUAGAAUUCCACGUGUAGCAG